rnacentral:rRNA from 1 species
GUGAGGAAUAUUGGUCAAUGGGCGAGAGCCUGAACCAGCCAAGUCGCGUGAAGGAUGAAGGUUUUAUGAAUUGUAAACUUCUUUUGCAGGGGAAUAAAGUACGGUACGUGUACCGUUUUGUAUGUACUCUGCGAAUAAGGAUCGGCUAACUCCGUGCCAGCAGCCGCGGUAAUACGGAGGAUCCAAGCGUUAUCCGGAUUUAUUGGGUUUAAAGGGUGCGCAGGCGGGUUGAUAAGUCAGCGGUGAAAGUUUGCAGCUUAACUGUAAAAUUGCCGUUGAAACUGUCGAUCUUGUGUGCAAAUGAGGUAAGCGGAAUGUGUUGUGUAGCGGUGAAAUGCUUAGAUAUAACACAGAACACCGAUUGCGAAGGCAGCUUACUGGGAUGCAACUGACGCUCAUGCACGAAAGCGUGGGGAUCAAACAGGAUUAGAUACCCCAGUAGUCC